ACGCUCGACACCUACGGAGGCAGCAGUGGGGGAUAUUGCACAAUGGGGGAAACCCUGAUGCAGCAACGCCGCGUGAAGGAAGAAGGUCUUCGGAUUGUAAACUUCUGUCCUCAGGGAAGAUAAUGACGGUACCUGAGGAGGAAGCUCCGGCUAACUACGUGCAGCAGCCGCGGUAAUCUGAGCGGGCUGGCAAGGC
rnacentral:rRNA from 1 species